rnacentral:tRNA from 1 species
GAGGGUGUAGCUUAGUGAUAGAAUGCCUGCUUAGCAAGCACAAGGCCCUAGGUUCAAAUCUUAGCACUGCCA